rnacentral:tRNA from 1 species
UGGAGUAUAGUCAAGUGUUAAGACGUUGGUUUUUGGUACCGGCAUGCAAAGAUUUGAAUCCUUUUACUACAG